rnacentral:rRNA from 1 species
UACGGAGGGUGCGAGCGUUGUCCGGAAUCACUGGGCGUAAAGGGCGCGUAGGCGGCCUGAUAAGUAGGGGGUGAAAUCCUGCGGCUUAACCGCAGGGCUGCCUUCUAAACUGUCGGGCUAGAGCACGGUAGAGGCAGAUGGAAUUCCCGGUGUAGCGGUGGAAUGCGUAGAGAUCGGGAAGAACAUCAGUGGCGAAGGCGGUCUGCUGGGCCGUUGCUGACGCUGAGGCGCGACACGUGGGGAGCAACAGG